GGUGGGGAUGACGUCAAAUCAUCAUGCCCCUUAUGACCUGGGCUACACACGUGCUACAAUGGUUGGUACAACGAGUUGCGAGUCGGUGACGGCGAGCUAAUCUCUUAAAGCCAAUCUCAGUUCGGAUUGUAGGCUGCAACUCGCCUACAUGAAGUCGGAAUCGCUAGUAAUCGCGGAUCAGCACGCCGCGGUGAAUACGUUCCCGGGCCUU
rnacentral:rRNA from 1 species